AUUAUUGUAUCUUUAUCUUAAAUGUAUCAAUUUCCUCAAAAUAACUGUUUUUGCACCAUGGUUUGCCCAUAGGGUGUACUCAACGGGAAGCCCUCUAAGUGGUCUCAUAAGCUAACCUCUUCCUGAGUGCCUGUCUACCUCGACAGUGAGGAACAACUGUCCUUUUUGCCUAUCUGAGAGGAGUGCUGCAUAGGACACCAACACAACUGAGCUUCACAGAUGAAGUGCAGUUCAUCUGUGGUGCUCUUUUUCCAGAGGCCAUCAUAUAUGCCCUGGCUGUCCUGCGGAAUUUCUCAUUGCAGGAGGCUGAGCAGGUCUUCCUUUCUGGUCCGGAUUAUCAUUACAGGAGCUGAAGCCUACAGCUUUUCUGUCCAUGCAGCAACUGAUGGAAAAGGGGGUCUUUUUU